rnacentral:rRNA from 1 species
UCCCAUAAACCGUGGCUCAGUUCAGAUCGUAGGCUGCAACUCGCCUACGUGAAGGCGGAAUCGCUAGUAAUCGCAGGUCAGCAUACUGCGGUGAAUACGUUCCCGGGCCUUGUACACACCGCCCGUCACACCAUGGAAGUUGGCCACGCCCGAAGCCGUUACUCCAACCCUUGUGGAGGAGGACGUCGAAGGUGGGGCUGAUGACUGGGGUGAAGUCGUAACAAGGUAUCCGUACCGGAAGGUGCGGAUGGAUCACCUCCUAA